AUUGAACGCUGGCGGCAGGCCUAACACAUGCAAGUCGAACGAGUGGCGGACGGGUGAGUAAUGUCUGGGAAACUGCCUGAUGGAGGGGGAUAACUACUGGAAACGGUAGCUAAUACCGCAUACCAUCGGAUGUGCCCAGAUGGGAUUAGCUAGUAGGUGGGGUAAAGGCUCACCUAGGCGACGAUCCCUAGCUGGUCUGAGAGGAUGACCAGCCACACUGGGACUGAGACACGGUCCAGACUCCUACGGGAGGCAGCAGUGGGGAAUAUUGCACAAUGGGGGCAAGCCUGAUGCAGCCAUGCCGCGUGUAUGAAGAAGGCCUUCGGGUUGUAAAGUACUUUUGGCAGGGAGGCGUUAUCUGCAGAAGAAGCACCGGCUAACUCCGUGCCAGCAGCCGCGGUAAUUC
rnacentral:rRNA from 1 species